AGUUUACGAAAACUCAGUGUGUAAUCCCAAUAACAAACAAACAGUAAAUAACACGGUAUCAGUACAAUCAGGGCCAAAGCCCUAUUUAGUCUUGACAUAUACUGGGCCGAAGCCUUUCCAUAAAUCAUAUCACUGGGCCGAAGCCUUUCCAUAAAUCAUAUUACUGGGCCGAAGCCUUUUCAUAAAUCAUAUCACUGGGCAGAAGCCUUUUCAUAAAUCAUAUCACUGGCCCG
rnacentral:lncRNA from 1 species